rnacentral:rRNA from 1 species
ACUCCUACGGGAGGCAGCAGUGGGGAAUAUUGCACAAUGGGCGCAAGCCUGAUGCAGCCCAUGCCGCGUGUAUGAAGAAGGCCUUCGGGUUGUAAAGUACUUUCAGCAGUGAGGAAGGCAGGUACGUUAAUAGCGUGCUUGUUUGACGUUAGCUGCAGAAGAAGCACCGGCUAACUCCGUGCCAGCAGCCGCGGUAAUACGGAGGGUGCGAGCGUUAAUCGGAAUUACUGGGCUAAAGCGCAUGCAGGUGGUUUGUUAAGUCAGAUGUGAAAGCCCGGGGCUCAACCUCGGAAUUGCAUUUGAAACUGGCAGGCUAGAGUCUGUAGAGGGGGGUAGAAUUUCAGGUGUAGCGGUGAAAUGCGUAGAGAUCUGAAGGAAUACCAGUGGCGAAGGCGGCCCCCUGGACAAAGACUGACGCUCAGAUGCGAAAGGCGUGGGGAGCAAACCAGGAUUAGAUACCCUGGUAGGAUAGCG